UACGUAGGUGGCGAGCGUUGUCCGGAUUUACUGGGCGUAAAGAGCGCGCAGGCGGCUGGUCAAGUCCGAUGUGAAAGCUCCCGGCUUAACUGGGAAAUUGCAUCGGAAACUGAUCGGCUGGAAGGUGGGAGAGGGUAGCGGAAUUCCCGGUGUAGUGGUGAAAUGCGUAGAUAUCAGGAGGAACACCAAUGGCGAAGGCAGCUCGCUGGGACGUGACUGACGCUGAGACGCGAAAGCGUGGGGAGCAAACAGG
rnacentral:rRNA from 1 species